GGCCCUUUAGCUCAGCGGUUAGAGCAGGCGGCUCAUAACCGCUUUGUCGCCGGUUCAAACCCGGCAAGGGCCACCA
rnacentral:tRNA from 1 species